rnacentral:rRNA from 1 species
AGGACGAACGCUGGCGGCGUGCUUAACACAUGCAAGUCGAACGAUGACCUCCAGCUUGCUGGGGUGAUUAGUGGCGAACGGGUGAGUAACACGUGAGUAACCUGCCCUCACUCUGGGAUAAGCACUGGAAACGGUGUCUAAUACCGGAUACGAGCUUCCGCCGCAUGGUGAGGAGCUGGAAAGAAUUUUGGUGGGGGAUGGGACUCGCGGCCUAUCGAGGUAGUUGGUGAGGUAAUGGCUCACCAAGCCGACGACGGGUAGCCGGCCUGAGAGGGUGCGGCAGACUGGGACUGAGACACGGCCCAGACUCCGUA